AUCAACUAUGAGUUAAAGCACAGACAUCAUAGAAGACGAAAGAAUACUGUCCAGGGUCCUUUUAGGCCCACGAGGCGGCCCAGGCGCUGGUCACAAGGCACCGCGAUCACGUGCCUCCUGCCGAAGGACUAACGGUGUGAGAAACCACCCUUCGCUCCCUGCCUGGUGUCUGGGACGCUUUGUCGGGAACCUGGCCACCUGAGGACACAUGCUUUCCCGCCAUCAACAGGGCGAGAGCGCUCCUGUCCCUUUCGUCUUCCGAUGCGUCUCCUGUCGGGUGAGAGCGCCCAGCGGCCCGCAGCCUGUGCAGACGCCUCCUGUGCGGCCCUGAAAGGGGACAGCUGACCGACCAGGCCGUUGGAAACUGGGGCCCAGCCUGGACAUCGCCAUCCCCUCCAGUCUGGCCUCGUGGGUCUGGGGAGAAGACCGCAGACAAAGUGCCCUUCUCAUUACCUCACCUCAGGGGUCCGUGCUCUCAACGUGGCACCUCACCACGGAUGCGACCUUGACCACCUGGCUGAGAAUGGUACGAGGAACCACGAUGGCUCAAACCAAGAUGGUGUUGGGUGUGCCUGUUGCGACUUGGCAUCAUUGCUUCUCUGCCGUCAGAAGCAAGGAGAUGUGCAUGUGUGUGCCCUGACCCGUCUUUGCUUUUUCCAGAAUGUCCAAUAAAGGGAAGCUCACAGUGUGCAGCCCCUGCCAACUUCGUUCACGUAGCAACAGUUCGUUUGCGAUCCAUCCAGGCCUGAGUGUGUCUCGACAGUUACUCCUUAUUGCUGAGCAACAUUCCACCGCAUGAAUGUUCCAGCUUGUCUACCAGUUCACCUACUGAAGAACGUCUUGGUGACCUUUGUUGUGGAACAAUUAUGAAAACAACCUACUGUAAACAUUAGUGUGAAGGUUUUUGUGUGGACAUAAAUUUUUAACUCCUUUGGGUAAAUACCUAUGAGCACAUCUCAA